GCGAACGGGUGAGUAACACGUGGGUGAUCUGCCCUGCACGUUCGGGAUAAGCCUGGGAAACUGGGUCUAAUACCGGAUAGGAGCCAUUUUUAGUGUGAUGGUUUGAAAGUUUUUUCGGUGUAGGAUGAGCUCGCGGCCUAUCAGCUUGUUGGUGGGGUAAUGGCCUACCAAGGCGGCGACGGGUAGCCGGCCUGAGAGGGUGGACGGCCACAUUGGGACUGAGAUACGGCCCAG
rnacentral:rRNA from 1 species